rnacentral:pre_miRNA from 1 species
GGGGAGCGCCCGAUCUUGCGCAGUGUCCCCGGCGCCCUGUGCUCCCGGGCCUGCCCUGUUGGAAUCACGCUCCUGGUGGUGCAGCUCCCU